UGGGGAAUAUUGCACAAUGGGGGAAACCCUGAUGCAGCGACGCCGCGUGAGCGAAGAAGGUUUUCGAAUCGUAAAGCUCUGUCCUAUGAGAAGAUAAUGACGGUAUCAUAGGAGGAAGCCCCGGCUAAAUACGUGCCAGCAGCCGCGGUAAUACGUAGGUGGCAAGCGUUGUCCGGAAUUAUUGGGCGUAAAGCGCGCGCAGGCGGCUACUUAAGUCCAUCUUAAAAGUGCGGGGCUUAACCCCGUGAUGGGAUGGAAACUGAGAAGCUGGAGUGUCGGAGAGGAAAGUGGAAUUCCUAGUGUAGCGGUGAAAUGCGUAGAGAUUAGGAAGAACACCGGUGGCGAAGGCGACUUUCUGGACGACAACUGACGCUUAGGCGCGAAAGCGUGGGGAGCAAACAGG
rnacentral:rRNA from 1 species